UACGUAGGGUCUUAGCGUUAUCCGGAAUUACUGGGUAUAAAGGGUGCGCAGGCGGGUCUGUGCGUCAAGGGUUAAAGACCCCGGCUUAACCGGGGAAGUGCCCUUGAAACGGCAGAUCUUGAGUGUGAGAGAGGAAGGUAGAAUUCCUGGUGUAGUAGUGAAAUACGUAGAUAUCAGGAGGAAUACCAGUGGCGAAGACGGCCUUCUGGCUCAUUACUGACGCUCAUGCACGAAAGCGUGGGGAGCAAACAGG
rnacentral:rRNA from 1 species